GAGAAUGUGGUGUAAUGGGAGCAUACAUGAUUUGGGAUCAUGUGGAGCAGUUCGAGUCUGACAUUUUCA
rnacentral:tRNA from 1 species